UUGCGAUUACGCAGCGGCGAAAAAGUAUCAAAUGCUGAAAUUACAUAAAUGCAAAUGUCCGAGUCGAAAAUGACCAGGAAACGGAGAGCCACAGAGAAUAACAGACAGGAGGACCGCGCCCAGUUUGCCUCGGCUCUGUUGAGGCAGAGUCGCGCGAAAUUCUUCGUAUGCUGUGGUAGUCUGAAGUAAAUGUUCAAACUGCUCCUGAGUUGGAAGAUGCGUGCCGUUAUGCAAAACACUGCACCCAUAAGAGCUCAUUUUUAACUUUACAGUAUUAAAAACAUACGCCGAGAAAGACUGUCGGUGGGACCGUGUCAACCGACGUAUUUGGUGAUCUAACCAGAUAUGGUUUUUUUUUCUUUUUGUCCCCGUUGCUGUUACAUGCGUCAUAUCGCACUGUAGUGAUGCACCCUUCCUUCGAGAAGUCAUGCAUAGCAUGGCUGCUGACAUUGUGGAGGGUUGUUUCAAACACGAGAUAGGAAGCAUAACAUCUGACAUGGAUGAAGGUUCACUUCCUCUGAGACCUUUGUUCAGCAGCCUGCUAUGAUGAAUGGGACUGUCCCUGGUGCCAAGCUUACGCAUCUCAGUUAUCCAUGAGUGGCCGUGGCUGGAGAGCAGGCACUAUUUUCUCACGCUUGGCACGGUAGCCACAACACCAUAUUUUCCCUUCUUCAGCCAAGAGCUUUCGUGGAGUAGCUCAGUGCAGAAAUCUAGACUCGGGCUGUCUGAGUAUUGCAGGUCCCAGUUUCAAGUGGCAACCAUGCACCCCCACUGAGGUGGCACUCUAACAGCCAACACACUGCAGUCUGACUCAUGACACUCAAUGUCCACUCACCAGAACAUGUGAGAACCAAGUCUCUCACAUCCACCCUCUCUAAACUGGCUUGUAUGAUAUCACACUUACAGUAUGAGGUUCACUUGUCGGCUUUGUGCUUUCCAACAUUUCCCAGGGAGCCUUUCGACGGGCCCAAGACUAGAGGUGUUAACUUGUUGCAUUGAGUUGUGGAUGUGAGCGUAGGUGGAUGGAUUAAAAUCUUCACCGCACUACAUUCUGUGGGUGGAACUGAGAAAAAAAAUGGAUUUAUUCAUGUAUCACUGUCAUCAU